UGGCGGCGUGCCUAAUACAUGCAAGUCGUACGGUUCUGUUCGAGUGGGUAACUAUUUGGACAGGAUAGUGGCGAACGGGUGAGAAAUACGUAGAUAAUCUACCCUCGGGUCUGGUUUAUAACAGCUCGAAAGAGUUGCUAAUACCGGAUAAUACACGGGAAUGCCUGUUUCUGUGUUGAAAGACGGCGCAAGCUGUGCCCUUGGCUGAGUCUACGCACCAUUAGCUAGUUGGCGGAGUAAUAGCCCACCAAGGCUACGAUGGUUAGCCGGCCUGAGAGGGUGUCCGGCCACAUUGGGAUUGAGAUACGGCCCAGACUCCUACGGGAGGCAGCAGUAGGGAAUUUUCCGCAAUGGGCGAAAGCCUGACGGAGCGACGCCGCGUGGGCGAUGAAGGUCUUCGGAUCGUAAAGCCCGGUCGAUAGGGAAGAAGGUCAUUCAGGUGAAUAAUCUGAGUGGCUUGACUGUACCUGUGGAGGAAGCCACGGCCAAUUACGUGCCAGCAGCCGCGGUAAUACGUAAGUGGCAAGCGUUAUCCGGAAUCACUGGGUGUAAAGGGUGUGUAGGUGGCGAUAUAAGUCUUGAGUUAAAUCCCGCAGCUCAACUGCGGAACCGCUUGAGAAACUGUAUUGCUUGAGUAAGGAAGAGGAGAGUGGAAUUCCGUGUGUAGCGGUGAAAUGUGUAGAUAUACGGAGGAACACCAGUGGCGAAGGCGACUCUCUGGUCCUUUACUGACACUGAGGCACGAAAGCCGGGGGAGUGAACAGGAUUAGAUACCCUGGUAAUCCCGGCCCUAAACGAUGUUCACUAGGUGUAGGAGGUAUCGACCCCUUCUGUGCCGCAGCUAACGCAUUAAGUGAACCACCUGGG
rnacentral:rRNA from 1 species